rnacentral:rRNA from 1 species
CAGCAGCCGCGGUAAUACGGAGGAUGCGAGCGUUAUCCGGAUUUAUUGGGUUUAAAGGGUGCGCAGGCGGGAUUUUAAGUCAGCGGUGAAAUUUUCAGGCUCAACCUGAACACUGCCGUUGAAACUGGGAUUCUUGAGUAUGGAUGAAGUAGGCGGAAUUCGUUGUGUAGCGGUGACAUGCUUAGAUAUAACGAGGAACUCCGAUUGCGUAGGCAGCUUACUAAGCCAUAACUGACGCUCAAGCACGAAAGCGUGGGGAUCAAACAGGAUUAGAUACCCUGGUAGUCCACGCCGUAAACGAUGAUUACUAGUUGUUUGCGAUAUACCGUAAGUGACUAAGCGAAAGCGAUAAGUAAUCCACCUGGGGAGUACGCCGGCMACGGUGAAACUCAAAGGAAUUGAC